UACUUCGGAUUGUAAAGCACUUUAAGUUGGGAGGUAGGGGCAUUUACCUAAUACGUUAAGUGGUUUUGACGUUACCGACACGAAUAAGCACCGGCCUAACUCUGUGC
rnacentral:rRNA from 1 species